rnacentral:lncRNA from 1 species
GAACACCUUCCCCCUACAAGGACAGGAUGAGAGAGCUGGGGCAGUUCAGCCUGGAGAAGAGAUCUGUUAGCAGCCUUUUCUUCUAGCGAGUCCAAAGGAGGCGGAUGAAGCGAUGCCUGGCCCAGCAGACUGCCCGAGAGCACAGAGCUACAAAAGUGGGAGUUUGGUGCUCGCCUGCCACAAGUAAAAUUAAGUCUUCAAUCUUCUUUUGCAAUUUGAAACUGAAAACCCAAAUCAAUAAACCUCUCAGUCCUCCUUGAGCUACAACCUAAGAGCACAGGCCAAAAACUCCAC